AGCUGGGUGACAUACUUCAAAUUGCUUCCUUGUGUCAAUUUACUAACGUCUAAGUAACUAAACACUAUAAUUUACAAUAAAAAUGGAAACUUCAGAGUGUUAAAUUCAGAAGGCAAAUAUAAAGCAUUAAUGAAUUAAAAGACAAUUUAAAAUUACUUUACCUUUUUGAGUUCCCAAAGACUAGUGUUUUCAGCUCCACAGAACAGAGGGUUUCUACUGAAUGGAUCAUAUGUCUUUGACUGUUUGCCACCUGAGAACAAAAAAAUACUAUUUCUCAAAUGCUUUAUUCCUAGCCCAAGAGUGCACUAAAACUAUCAUCAUUAAUUGUUGUUGCUAAUAACUAUGACAUGUUAGAUGUAUAUGUAAUAUUACUAUGAAUUUUCAAUGUUCUUAGCCAGGUAUCUUACCUAGAUAAAAAAUUCUAAGUCCCAACAAGAAUUAGUUAUAGUACCCAAGAUAGCAUUUGCUACCUUGAAGUAGCAAACUGAAUAAACCAGGCAGCAAAAGGUGCCCCAAUCUAGGUCAAUUAGAUCAUAGUGUUAAAAUGGCAAAUAACCUGAAGAUAAAAUAGGUCUAAAUUCUUUUGAAACGUUAAAAGCACUGAAUAUUUGUUAUUAAAUUAUGUGCAGAAAUAAUUCUCACUUGGGACAAAUUUUACAUUAUCUUCUUCAUGAUUUCAGAAACUCAGGAUCAAAAGUUUAAGAGAACUUUCAGAACACAUUACAAAGAACUCUCUAACUUCACAAUUCGCAUCAUCUUUCUAAAGGAUUACUACUCUCAGUCUUGCCUUCAGGGAAACUGAUGGAUUCUUUUAAAAACUUUCCUGCUGGCUACCAUACUUCUCCUUCAUAUUUCAUAGGCAAACAAGUCUGGGGAGAUGAAAUAAUUUUACCAAGAGUCCCACAACAGGUUUGAGGAAAUGGGUCUGGCAUAUUUCUUGAUCUGCAAGAUCAAGGGGGAAUUCAAUUCCCUGAUUUAAAAGUUCAAGAGAAAAAUUUGAAGAUUAAGAAACUCACCUUUCAAAUUAUCGAAGUGCACCCAAGAAGCAGACUCUGAUUUUUUUGUUCCCACAGGACUUUCAGAAACAGUUUCUUCUGUCUCAGCUUUUUUUACUGUGUCUGUUUCUUUAUCUGCAUCAGUGAAUUGUUCUGUGUCUUCAUCAUCUCCUAUGUCAAUAAAAUUCUCUUCAUCAGACUCCUAAAAUAAUGUUUUAAUAAAUCUACAUUAAUCAAC